CAUCCUUCUCCGCCCCUGGGCCCAGGGAGCUAUUUUCCAUUCGGUGGGGGUUCUGGCUGGGGCUGCGCCGUCCCUGCGAGGCAGCGGGAACCGGGUGGGCCCGGGAGCAGAUGAUGCUGGGGCCCCGGGAGGAGUCGGGACGGGGCUGAGAUGCGUCGGCCCCGCCGCAGUUGAACGGUAACAUAAUCCAUGGAUCAGGUGGGCAAGAUGUGGAACAACUUCAAAUACAGAUGCCAGAAUCUCUUCAAUCAUGAAGGUGGAAACCGAAAUGAAAACAUAGAUGUAGACUCCACUCAAUGUUCAUCUGUUAAAGACAGAAGUAUCCAUGUACCCGAUUUGGCUCCGCAGCAACCAAGCAGCCCUUUAAGAGAGAACAUUGCCUUACAACUGGGUUUAAGUCCUUCAAAGAAUUCAGUGAGGAGAAAUCAGAAUUGUGUCACUGACAUCCCUCAGAUUGUCGAAAUAAGCAUAGAGAAAGAUAAUGACUCGUGUGUUGCCACAGGAACGAGACUUGCACAAAGGGAUUCCUACUCUCGGCAUGCUCCUUGGGGUGGGAAGAAGAAACAUUCCUGUUCUACUAAAACCCAGAGCUCCUUGGAGAAUGAUAAAAGAUUUGGUCGAACACGAAGCGGCUUGCAAAGGCGGGAGCGAAGAUACGGUGUGAGCUCUGUUCAUGAUAUGGACAGCGUAUCAAACAGGACUGUAGGCAGCCGUACUCUGCGACAGCGGCUUCAGGAUACCGUUGGGUUAUGUUUUCCCAUGAGAACUUAUAGCAAACAGUCCAAACCUCUCUUUUCUAAUAAAAGAAAGAUUCAUCUCUCUGAAUUAAUGCUUGAGAAAUGUCCUUUCCCUGCUGGAUCUGAUCUUGCCCAAAAGUGGCAUCUGAUUAAGCAACAUACAGCUCCUGUGAGCCCUCAUUCAACUUUUUUUGAUACAUUUGAUCCUUCCUUGAUUUCUGCAGAAGAUGAAGAAGACCGACUUAGAGAGAGACGUAGGCUUAGUAUUGAAGAAGGGGUUGACCCCCCUCCUAAUGCCCAAAUACAUACUUUUGAAGCUACAGCACAGGUUAAUCCAUUAUAUAAACUGGGACCAAAGUUAGCCCCGGGUAUGACUGAGCUGACUGGGGACAAUAGUGCAACACUACAGGGAAACUGUGAUUCUGAAGAGGACACAACAACCCUCUGCUUGCAGUCACGCAGGCAAAAGCAACGUCAGGUGUCUGGAGAGAGCCAUGGCCAUAGCAGCAGACAAGGGGCUUGGAAAGUACAUACUCAGAUUGAUUACAUACACUGCCUUGUGCCAGACUUACUUCAAAUAACAGGUAACCCAUGUUAUUGGGGUGUGAUGGACCGUUAUGAGGCAGAGGCACUUCUGGAAGGCAAACCUGAAGGCACUUUUUUGCUCAGGGAUUCUGCACAAGAGGACUACCUCUUCUCUGUGAGCUUCCGUCGUUACAACAGAUCCCUCCAUGCACGUAUUGAGCAAUGGAAUCACAAUUUUAGUUUUGAUGCUCAUGAUCCCUGUGUAUUUCACUCCUCCACUGUUACAGGACUUCUAGAACACUAUAAAGACCCUAGCUCUUGCAUGUUUUUUGAACCAUUACUUACUGUAUCUCUGAACAGGACUUUUCCUUUUAGUCUGCAGUAUAUCUGCCGGGCAGUAAUCUGCAGGUGCACUACGUAUGAUGGAAUUGAUGGCCUCCCUUUACCAUCAAUGUUGCAAGACUUUCUAAAGGAAUAUCACUAUAAACAAAAAGUCAGGGUGCGAUGGUUGGAACGGGAACCUAUUAAGACAAAGUAAAUGGAAUCUAGAGUCCCCAGUAGGCUUACUAGGUUAUGCAUAUUUUUUUUGUGCAUUAGUUUAACUUAGAAAGCACAUCAGCUUUUUUGCAAUACCGUAUUUAAGCUUGAUGUUUAGUAUCAUGUCAGAUGCUGUCUGCUGUUACAUAAAUCAAGUUGUGAUGCCUCUUGAAACAAUAAGCAGAGACAAAGCGACGUGUUUUUCAUUAAGAUUGAGUGGAUGUUUUCAGAGAACUAUCCAUAAUGACUCCAAGAUCUCUUUCUUGAGUGACUUACCCAACAGCCCUCACCUUCUCUAGUAGGAACUGCUCUUCUCACAAGGGAAUGGAAUAUUUUACAUGCUAACAGAUUUAAGAUCUGCUGCUGCCCUCACUCUCUAGGGCGGACAUACUUUUGAGAAAAAUAAACAGAACAUCUUUUUACAUGUCAACUUUUGGAAUCGAGCAACUUGAGGAUGAUUAGAAAUCUCUCCAUUCUAUAUAGAGAGAGCAAAGCUCUGGAAGCCUCAAAUGGAGAAAAUGAAAUCCCAGAGAGAAACCAAUAGAGGGCACUAAGAAGUCCUGCUUACUGAUUGCUUGCUGCUAUUGAUCAAAAUGGAGAGUAUGAAUUGGAAUGCCUCUUUUCCAAACUGAAACAUGGAAGAGCAAAAAAAGAUAAUUAUGCCUGUAUCAUCCUGAACUCAUUCUCCAGCUUCAGAAGACUUAAAAAUAUCUCCACUCAUCAAUGGGACAGACACAACUGAAUAAUGUAGCUGAUCUUAAUGUGCAUCAAGACAAUACCAGAGAACUAGAUGUAAAUAACAUUGCUGACCAUUUCAUCCAGAAAGCUACAGUGAAACAUAAUGUCUUUAAACUGGGACACUUGUAAAGACAGCUUGUAGGGCCUGAUGUAGUCAGUAGGGCUAACAUUAACGUCACGGAUGAGCUGAACUCCUGGGGUAGAAUCCUGGUUCCUUUGAAGGCAAUGGCCAGGAUAUCAUCCCUGAACAUUAACACCUGAUUUCAGAGUGUCCUUUGCAAAGUGACAAAGAAGCAGGACUUUAAAAAGCACCAAAGAAGAGAUCCAGCCUAAGACUUUGUCUACACUAGCACUUUUGGUGGUAAAACUUUUGACAAAAGUGCCGGUGUGGACAGCACUAUGUCGGUGGGAGACAAUCUCCUGCCGACAUCACCCCCAACGAACGGAGGUAGCUGUUUAAUUACACUGGCAGGAGAGCUCUCUCCUGCCGGCAUUGAGCAGCUACAUGGAAGACCUUACAGCUGUAUUCUCAUUUGGGAAGUUGAACAGACCUUGACUGCAAUCAGACUGACUCAGUCCCUCACAGUAACUUGCCCUGGUACCCUCCCCCCUUCCCUAGAUAGAGCUCUACUUCCUGUACAGAGCUCUUCCCAACCUUGGUUUGCCCUCAGCCUCCUUUGGAUUGGGCUCUUCUGGCUCUCCAACCCAAUAAAGGGAAGGAAUCCCCCAGUCGUGCUGCAGGGCCCAGUCAUCUACCCCACACCCUUGCUAACCUCAUGUCUCACUCCUUUUCCCCCCUCUUAUUUAUUUUGCUCUGUCACUACCCCCCUCCUUGCCACUCUCAUACUCAUGGGCCUGCUACAGGCUCUGCUGGUCUGCCAUCAGCUGCUAACAACACAUAGCUCCCUGCACCAUUGAGGUUUUUCCCUUUCAGCAAAGUCCUCAGUGUAAUAACAUGGUUGUAAUCAGGCUUCUAGAAUAUGAAUAGCACUACAGUCUACAUGAAUAAAUGUCUAUCCUAAAAGCAUAGCCUAAUUCUUCCAUAGCCUCACACUAACACUGAGAAGAUAACAAAUGUCUGCUGCACAGCAGGCUCGCCAAGGUGGCUGUGCCCCGAUGCUGGUAGCCCUGUCUGUAGGCAUAAGUACAUUGGAGCAUUAGUCCUCUCUACUGGGUGACAGUCAUUCUCAAGCCCUGUGCAAGCCAGCUCCCUUAUUCACAAGGGUCAUAAAGGAUGGGACAUAGACAAGGAGCAUCUGAGGAGAUGCAAGCUUAAGUGCAGUGCACAGCCAGGGGUGCUGGAACAAUUUGUAUAGUGAGUGCUGAGAGCCAUUGAACCAAACUGUAAACCCUGUAUAUAAUGGAAACCACUUGAAGCCAGGGGGUGUGGUAGCACCCCUACUUCCAGCAACUAUGUGCUCAGCUACAUAUUCUCCUCAGACCCCUUUCUUCUACUUCUUGGCAGCUGGGAUAUUUCAGUCAUGGAGCAGCACACUCUUGUGACUGUGGGGGUGGACUCAGCAGAGUUCCCUGUCCUCUUCAGCAUUUUUUAUUGUGAAACACUUGAAACCUGUGCUGUGCAGCAUCAAAAUCAGUGUUACUUAGAGCCUGAUUUUUCAAAGAUGCUCCACAAUUCCACCCAAUAUCAGUGGGAGCUGCAGGUGCCUGGUGCCCCCUGAAAAACAAGCCCUUACUGUGACUUAGCAGAUGCCUGGGAGGCAAAACACCACAGGUCUAGUGUCAGCUCUGUCACUGAUUUGCUGCAUGGCCUUGAGCAAGACACUUAACUGUCCUGUUCCAUUUUCCCCACAGGUAAGAUAGGAAUAACAUUUACCUCCUGGAUCUCACUUAAUUAUUUAAUGUUUGUACAGAGCUUUGAGCAUCUAAAUUACGGUAGAAGGGCUAAGUGAUAGUAUUAGUGAACAUCUUUGUGCUGAUAAAUAUGGUGCCCAAUUCAUAUGCCAGUUGGGUCAUCUAUUCACCUGCUACUCUUUUGGCAAACAUAAUUUUUUGUAGCAUGAAUAUGUUUCUGGCUUACCCUACACAAGCUCAUAAAGCCUGGCUGGUGUGUCUAUCUGAACAAGUGUCUCUUACUAAGCCAAAUGGUUUGUACAAAGAAGCUGACUCUGUACCCAGUACAAUGGCCAUUUCCUGUUUCCUAUGACUUUUUGCUCCCUUCCUCACUACUUAGAUUAUGGCUGCAUGCAAAGAGAGUCUUAUGUCUCUGUAUGCGUUAAUAAAGGAAACCGUAUUUUUUCUAGUUAGCCUGUGUUCAUAUUAUAAAUUGACUUUGAUCCAGGGAAAAAUUUCACUGCCAGGCAAUAGACUGUUUUCUUACUGCUUUGGGCACCAGUUCUUAGAUUCUGUUCAAAGCUCAGCAUCCCCUAGAGCAUUUGUAAGGCAGCGCAUUCAGAUGUAGAGACCAGGAUAUGCUGCACAGUGUAACACACACUUUUAUAUAAGAUAUAUAAAUAAAGGAUCUUUACAGCAAGUUGUCCAUAGUCACUCAUCCAGGCAAGCAUAUAAAGGUGGAAAAGAAAAGGCAGGUGGAACUGCAAGCUGGUAAAGAUGCCAGAGGGAAUUCUAGCUGUCAUGUGGUGAGGGGAUUGGGAAUGGAACAAUGCACUAAAGGCAAGAGAAAAUUAUGAAAUUAUUAUUUGUAUUACAGUAGCUCCUGGAGGCUAUACCCAGGGCUCCAUUGUUCUUAGUGUUGUACAAACAUGAAGUGAAAGACUGUCCCUGCCUCAGAGAGCUUUCAAUGUAAUUAGACAAAAUGCAGGCAAAACAGAGGGGGAGGAAGUAUUGCUACCUCUCUUUCCAGAGAGGGAGCUGAGACAGAGAGAUUAAGGACAAGAACUCAACGGUAUUUAGGCACCUAAUUCCAACUGAAAUCAAGGGGAGUUGGAUGCCUAAAUAGGAUGUGGGCCUACGUGACUUGCCCGGGUCCAUGGUAGAGCUGGGAAUGGAACCCAGUGAGUCUCAGUGCGGUGCUUAACCACCAAGCUGUCCUUGUACCUUUGUCAGUUGAAGGGAAAGCUUUUAAAAAGCAUUAAAAGAUGAGUGGAAGUGAUUCAGUUGCUCAGACAGAAGGAGUGAAUCUCAGCAGCUGGGUGGCACAAUGGGAUGCCCUCCUUCCUCCCCACAUGGGAAGGGUUAAUGCAGGGUGGACAGAGAGGGGGUGGAGCAGCUUGUGCAGUCAAGGGAGUAGGUGCACAAACUACCAGAAAGGUGAGGGAGGUAAGUCCCUCGGACUUGGGAAAAACAGCAGGUUGUCCCUCUCCGUCAGUACUGAGGCCCAUUGAUGGGAGCAGCUUACACUGCGGCUGCUCAAGCUGUGCCCAUUCUGUAAGUACAUGGACGGAUUCCAGUUUUGAGUGCUGUUGGGCCUGCUGUUUAAAGGAACACCAAAUUCUCACCAUUUAAAAAAAAAUCAAAAUUAGACAAAUACAAAAAAUAAAAGGUACAAUAAUAAUGGAGAAAACAUCAGUGAGCAUUGUAAACAGUACUGAAGCAUUUGCAGGUUUCACAUUUAAUAGACACCGAGCCAAAUUCUCUUGUAUUUACCCUGCUCAGAUAGGCCUUAUUCUCAUUGUAAAUGACCAGUUGAGACUUCCCCCAAAGGAGAAUGUCCACUGGCAUAACACACUGGAGAUGGUUCUUGCUUUAGCUGCCCCCUCACUCCCCCAUGAACCACCCCAGCAUAUGCAGUGGAGAAGACCUCCACUACACUGAUCCUCCACUAGUGUAAGAUCUUUAAGCUACCUUAACCAAUACCUGGGCCAGGGUAGCCCAGAAUCAGGGAACCAUAUUCAAUUUCCUAAUAGACCUUUUCUCCCCAGAGCUCAAUGGAGCUUGAACACAGGGAAAACCAUUGAACAAAGGUAGCUAUUACCAAACUUCAUCAAAAGAAAGACUCUAAAAGUCAGUGGAGAGGGUACUAAAAGAUGGUAGUCACUCAAAGUUGGAGGAGAUGGGGACAUGGAGUAAGAGAAGAAGAAUUCCAACAUCUUAGAACUCAUUGCAGAGGAUUAGUGGACACAGUGGUCCAGAAUUCAGUUUCCUUAGCUUUCUGAGGGAGAACCACAAGUGGAUGAGCAAUACUGAACUGAAGAGCUGGUAGCAGUCAAUCGUAAAGCUGUCAUAGAAUCGUAGGACUGGAAGGGACCUUGAAAGGUCAUCUAGUCCAGUCCCCUGCACUCAUUCCAGGACUAAGCAUUAGCUAGACUAUCUCUGACAGGUGUUUGUCUAACCUGCUCUUAAAAAAAUGAUGGAGAUUCCACAACCUCCCUAGGCAAUUUAUUCCAGUGCUUAACCAUCC